UCCCAAGGCUAAAUACUACCUGAUGACCGAUAGUGAAGCAGUACCGUGAGGGAAAGGUGAAAAGAACCCCGGGAGGGGAGUGAAAUAGAACCUGAAACCGUGUGCCUACAACCGGUCAAAGCCCCUUAUGAGGGUGAUGACGUGCUUUUUGUAGAACGAGCCAACGAGUUACGGUAUGUAGCAAGGUUAAGUACUUAAGGUACGGAGCCGAAGGGAAACCGAGUCUUAAUAGGGCGACUAGUUGCAUGCCGUAGACCCGAAACCGGGUGACCUAUCCAUGGCCAGGUUGAAGCGGGGGUAAAACCCCGUGGAGGACCGAACCACGUUGCUGUUGAAAAAGCAUGGGAUGAGCUGUGGAUAGCGGAGAAAUUCCAAUCGAACUCGGAGAUAGCUGGUUCUCCUCGAAAUAGCUUUAGGGCUAGCGUCGGAUAUGAGUAGUGGAGGUAGAGCACUGAAUGGGCUAGGGGGCAUAGCGCUUACCGAACCUUAUCAAACUCCGAAUGCCACAUACUAUUAGUCCGGCAGUCAGACUGCGAAAGAUAAGUUCCGUAGUCAAAAGGGAAACAGCCCAGAUCGUCAGUGUAAGUUAAGUGGAAAAGGAUGUGGGAUUUCUAAGACAACUAGGAUGUUGGCUUAGAAGCAGCCACUCAUUAAAAGAGUGCGUAAUAGCUCACUAGUCGAGAGAUCCUGCGCCGAAGAUGUCCGGGGCUCAAACUUACCACCGAAGCUACGGGUUCACACUUAUGUGUGAGCGGUAGAGGAGCGUCGUAAUCGGGCUGAAGUCGUACCGUAAGGAGCGGUGGACUGAUUACGAGUGAGAAUGUUGGCAUUAGUAGCGAGAUGUGGGUGAGAAUCCCACAGGCCGAAUAUCUAAGGUUUCCUCAGGAAGGUUCGUCCGCUGAGGGUUAGUCGGGACCUAAGCCGAGGCCGAAAGGCGUAGGCGAUGGACAAUCGGUUGAUAUUCCGAUACCACUACUGAUCGUUAUUAUCGAUGGUGUGACGGAGAAGGAUAGAGUGUGCUAGCUAUUGGAUGCUAGUCUAAGCGUUUAGGGAGUUAGGAAAGGCAAAUCCGUCCUAACAAUUCUGAGGCGUGAUGGGGAAGGUUCUACGGAACCGAAGUACUUGAUUCCAUGCUUCCAAGAAAAGCAUCUAGAGAGAGAUGUAGUGCCCGUACCGCAAACCGACACAGGUAGAUGAGGAGAGAAUCCUAAGGCCGGCGGAAGAAUCACAGUUAAGGAACUAGGCAAAUUGACCCCGUAACUUAGGGAGAAGGGGUGCCUGUGAGAGCAGGCCGCAGAGAAUAGGCCCAAGCAACUGUUUAGCAAAAACACAGGUCUCUGCUAAAGCGAAAGCUGAUGUAUAGGGGCUGACGCCUGCCCGGUGCUGGAAGGUUAAGGGGAACACUUAGCGCAAGCGAAGGUGUGAACUUAAGCCCCAGUAAACGGCGG
rnacentral:rRNA from 1 species